rnacentral:antisense_RNA from 1 species
GAGACAAGGAAAUGCUGUCACCGCUGUUAACACGCACGUGGAGGUUGGUUAAAGGGAAGACUGGGUUUUAGUCCUGUCUCCAUCAACCUCAAGAUAUGGGACCUCAUGGAAGGGAGGGGAGGCAAUGCCGAGGAUGUGCUCCUGAGCAGGUGCCACAAUUCUUCACCUAUAAGACCUCCAGAGGCCCAAACUUUAAUAGAAUCUGAGAGAAAAAAGUGGCCAGUCUAUCUGCUGUCCACAGUGAUGCCAAACUCUUUCUCCCGGAGCCAGUUCUCCCCAUUGGGCAGUCAGGAAACAAUAAGUGAACAAGAAGUAACCUCAGAAGAAGAAAGAACUUUGGGAGAACGCACUGAGAAAGGCCAGACUGAGUCCCCUUGGAUGAAGUUGAUUAAGAAACAAACA